AGACACCUUCCUGAGCAGCAGAGGAGCGGACUGGAGAGCAGGCAGUGUGAUGAAGUCAGCAGUGAGGUCUGGACCGCUGCAGGAGGCAGCAUGAAGGAUCAGCAGUGUUGCUUGGCAUGGCGUUCACUGAGGGUCAUAGCACUCAUCUUCUACUCCGGCUAAACCUCUGUCGUAUGAUUCAGCAGCGUGAGUCACAGGUUACUGGGACCCAAAAUAGAGCUUUAAGCUGAAAAGAAUGCACUGUUAUUAGCUGGUUCUGGCUGCCAAACAAGAAACCAUCAUUAUUAUUCUUUCAUCUAAGUUUCCCCACGCUGCUCCAAAAUGGGAUCUUCUGGCAGCACUAUGCGAGAAAACUUGCAUCUUGACUUCUGAACCUCCUGAACAACUCCACAAGAAGUAACAGCUCCUGACAAGACCAGCGAAGCCUGUCCGGUGACACAAGUCUCUUGAAUGCACACUUUUGACCUUACCUGUGUCUUUACAACCAGUUUUUCUAAAUCAUGUGGAAAUAUCUGUCAAAAUCUUCAUUCAAAAGGGGUUUCCUGUCU